AGCAGCUUUCAUUCCUUAAUCCCAUCUCCCAUAUUCUUGAAAUUUCUGCUCCUUUCCCUCAAGUGAGGAGCUCAUGAGGAGAUGACCUUGACUUUGAUCAAAGGUCCUUUGUGGUCUUUUUUCAGUAUUGCUGUUUGGAUUGGAGUGCCAAUCUCUGGGUUCUAUGCAUAUUUUCAUUGUCUCCCUUGGAAACACCACAUGCUAAAAGCUGAGCCCACCAGUCCUCCUCCAGUAAGAGAAGCCAUCUCUGCAAUGUCUCCUCCAGCAUGUGGGCUACUGACGUCUCUCUGAUGAGGCCAUGAUGACUUCAGCUGAUUUUUCAAGUGGGAAUGGGAUCCAGGUACUCCUUGGACAAGUGUUCAAGACUCUCCCUCUGCCCACUGUGGAUCCUGGUUUGGCCACUGGCUAAGGAAGCAGGAGAGGGGAGAGAAGGCAGUAAAACUGGGGGCUGUGGUUCACUGAGUACACACUGGAACUGGAAGAGUGAUUGAAUGUCUUAUACUAUUAUUUCCAAUCUUGUCUAUUGUCAUAAAUAUGGGAACCUAGAGUCUGGCUUGAGCCUGCUGCAGGAGGGAGUCAGACUCAUCUAGCUAAUUCAACUUGAGGGAAACGGAGAGAGCAUGAGCAACCUCUGGGAAUUUCCGUAUUAAUAUCCUGAGACCCAGAGUCCAGUCACGUGGGAUCUCUGAGGAUGUACAUGGUCACAAGGGCUGGCCACUGUGUUCAUCAUCCAGGUGAGAUAAUAAUGUUGCCUUCUCCAGGCUCUGUUUUAAGGAAAGUUGGAGCUAGUGGAAUCUAGAGAAGAGUAGGUGUAGCAGACAGGACUUACUAAGAGUCUGUAGACGGCGCUGGCAACAAAGACUCAGACGGAGACUUUAAAUAUACCCAGAGAGUGAGCAAACAUGAGAUAAAUGAGCAAACACAAAACAAAUUAUUUCCAUAGUCAGCAGCAAUGCAUGUGUCAGUGUGGGCUCAUUCUUGAAUGAGUUGCUACUCCAGCCAAACUAGAAGUUGAGUGUUAUGAUCCACGAGUGUUUUUCGGCUCAUGGCCCAUGCAGCAACUCACAAAGCAAGAUUUGGUUAUCAGGCCUGGGAUUCACAAGUGGGCUGGGCAAUGUGGAGCUUGUGAAUUGAGAUAUCCAAGUGUGAAUUGAGAUGCUCAAAUGGAUAGUCACCCUUCUGUGCCCUGUACAGCCUAUCAUUCCCCUUUUGGCAUCAGUGGUGAUCUGUUUAGACAGCAGGUGACUCUCAUGUCAUUAUGACUGGAAGUCCUGGACUAUGCUAAGGUACUUGACCCUGUGCAUACAGCCCUAGAUGAGGUUAGACUCUUAGGCACUCAUACUUUGACAGGUCAUACUCUGAUACACAGAUUAGCCUUGCAAAUUUCUGCCAAUUAUAAUGGGCAUAGCAAGCACUUUCACUGUGAUGCAAGAUACAAGGGACCAAAUGGAACUCAACACUGCUGAUUUUUUAGAACUUGGAGGGAGGAGGUAUAGGACACAGCUGCCAGGUGCCAGAGUGUGAUUGCCUAAGACAAUAAUCCCAUCUCUCUAGCUUCCUGCAAUUGGGAAUGUAAAAGAAUCAAUCCUAAACAGAGACUGGACUCAGCCAUGCAAUAUGCAUAACCUCAGAGUUUCUGCUGUUUUAUUGAGAUCUGUUUUGAAGUUAAGCCCACUAAAGUAAAGGCCUUGGGCUUCACAUGAAGUCUGGGGCAUGACUGUAUUCAGAUAAUCACAAAACAGGAAGGAAAGUGAAGAUGUACCGGCACUUGCAAGGUAGCAGACAAUUAUUCAUGUAACCCUGACUCACCGCAGACCUGGACUGAGGGUCACUGGCAGACUCAUCCCACCCUGAUUCAAUUAGGACACCACAUUUGCUGUGCUAUCUCCACCGGCUGUCAUUCUGGCUUUACCUGCUGGGCUCAAUGCCUGGCUCUGGCCCCCUGUGAUGGCUUGGCUCCUCCUCAGCUUCUGGUCUGGGGACCUGUGUUCUCUAACCACCUGCUUCCAGACUCUGGCACAUGUCUGUAAAUAGUAUCUCUCAGAGGAAAGUAUCCCAAAGGCUCUGAAGAUACUGUGCAGGAUCCUCUGGCUUAAAUCUCAGACUGGCACAUUCGGUAACUUAUUUUCCUGGGCAUCCUCUCCCUGAUCCCACCAGCAGCCCUGGGGAAGGUCUCAGGCUCCAACCGAUCCAUUUUCACCUUGGAGAACUGGUGAACCUGGGACACUAAAUGACUUCCAAUACUAUAUCGAUACAUUGGGAUAUAGAUGGGUAGGUCAAAUCAUGACACCUCCCUUCUGUGCCAAUGGCUCCUAGAUCCUUUCAUAAAAUCAGAAAACAUAGACUCCUGGAGAUAGUUCUCAUGCUUAGUAAACUGUAGAUCCUCCAUCAGUCACCCCCUGCACCAACCAACUCUGGAGGUCCCAGCAGAUUCCAACUGUGUUACAAACUUUACUGCAAGGCCGGACAUGUGGUGAGCAUGAAAGGAUGCCAGUCAAUUGAAUAUUAAUUCCAGAAAAUACAGGGACUCUCAGAACUUUAAGCAGACUUAGGUAAUUGAUUAAAUUUCUUCUUUGACAACUGUAUGCACACUUACACAGAUCUGUACAUAUAUUGAAUUACUUAAUUUUCCUCAUUUGAUACCCCAUUAGCCUCUACCAUUCCUCCUGCAUUUCCCAUUAGAACUUUUCCCAACAAGCCCAUUUCCUGCUUUGGUGUCUUCUUUUUUUUGUUAUCAUCAUCAUCAUCAUCAUCAUCAUCAUCAUCUUCACAAGUGAGAGAGGGAUGAUCACUGAAACAUGGGAAACGUAUCAGUGCUUACACUGCUGUUGAAAAAGACCCACACCUCCAAAUGUCCAUUGACUACUCAUAGUCCCUCAGUGAGGGAUGGGACUCCUAAAUCCCUCCCCCAUAUAUCAUAAAAUGAUGGUGGGCUCAAUCUUGUGCACAUUUUAGGCACAUAGUCACAGCUAUUGUGAGCUCAUGAGCACAAUGGUCAUGUUGUGUCAAGAGGACACUGUUUUGAAGCAUUCCUCUUUCCUAGAAUCUGCUUUGUGUAUUGUUUCUGGCCUUUCUACUAUCUCAUGAUCCUGAGAGAAGGAAACAUGCAUGUCCUAUUUAGGGUCAAGCAUUCCUUGGUAACUUAUCUUUCAUACUUUGACCCAAGGACUUUCAGGCAGUGGUGGCUCACACCUUUAAUCCCAACACUCAAGAGGCAGAGGCAGCAGGAGCUCUGUGAGUUUGAGGCCAGCCUGGUCUACAAAGCUACAUAGAGAAACCUUGUCUUGAAAAAAAAAAGUCUAGUGACAAUAACACAAAGCACUAAUUACAUCAAAUGAAAACAGCAGUGACAGAGUAAGUUGUACAGACUGGAGAAAAAAAUCAGUCACUAGAUACUUGGAAGUUAGUAAGCACUGCUGUGUUGCAAAUCAUUGCUAGUGGGAAUUGGAUUUCAAGCAGGCUCUAUCUGAUUCCCAGGCCAUUCUUUGAUGGCUUGGAACAAACAGGAAGGCAGUAUUGGCACGUGGCUGCACUUUCCCCUUCUACAUCCAGGGAAUGACACAGGCAGGACUGCUUUGCUGGGCUAAGAACAGGUUUCAUUUUGUCCUGCAGCAGAAAGAAGGACAGGACAGUAAGACAACAUGCACAGCAGGAAGCUGGCAGGAGCACCGUUGCCAUGGCAAUGAGAACAUGGAGCAAGUGUGAGGUUUGGGAUUAGAGUGUUGGGAUUAGCUGGAGGAGAUUGGCAGAUGAUGAGGCCCCAGCCCAGCCUCCAGCUGAAAGUAUGCAUUGUUUCCUAGAGUGGAAACGUAUGAAAUAGUUCUUGUAACUUGUGGAAUUUGAUGCUGUGUUGCCUGCCCUGUCUGUGCAUGGCAUCUCCUUUAGAAAACCUUGCUUUUGAUUGCACGGUCAUAUUCCUGCUGUGAUGUCCUAUGUUCUGUUUUGAUUUAUGUCCUGCAGAUUAGCAUCAUCUGCUCCCACAUGCUCCUUCCUGCUUGAAGCAAAGGGCAGAAAUGAUUCCCCAGGCCAACAGCUUUCUGGAGGCACUUCCUUUUAACACCUUGGAGCCCCUAUUUCCUUAUCUCUAUGGAAGGAAUUAGAACACUUCCCUAGCACAUAAAAGGCCCUGAAUUUGAUCUCCAGUACUUCAAGAUAAAACGAAAGCAACAAAGGAAGCAAAAUACCCGAAACCCACCCUCCUCUCCCCACUGUUGGGAAAGCAGGACAAGACAUUGCCAAUAAAGAACCAGGAAAGCACCUAGGCUUUUACUUGUGGAUGGAUGUAUCCUGCCUCCCUGGGGGGUUUGUUGGUUUCUUGAAAACUGAAGCCAGAUCUUUCUUUGGACUGCUGCAACUACUUAUGUGAGCAUUCUUUACUUGUAAGCGUGUAUGAGAACUGGCCCUGACAACACUUCUUGUGUAGCUUGGUAAGAAAAGCAUGCCAGCACGAGAGUGUCCAUCAAGUUCUGUGCCUGGAGAGGAGGCAACAGGCAACCAAAGUCAGGCAAGAAAACUAGAGAAUGUAUAGACAUUCAAGAACAGAAUGGGGAGAGGCAAAAUGGAGUGUUUAGAGUGAACCAAAGAUGGACUAUAUGUACUAUGGUCCCUGGACAACCUUCGAAUCAUAAGCAAUCCCAUGCCUCACAUUAAAGUCACUAUUUGGUGAAACUUUCCUUUGCAGACAGCUUGACCUAGAGGAGGAAAUGUGUCCCCUGACAUCCUUCUAGAAGAUGCACACAGGCCAUGGGAAUGAACAGACUGGUUUCAAAGUCACAGAUUUGAGUUUGAGUCUCAAUUAAUCAACUUGAAAGCUGUACAUCCUGCAUCAAGUCACAUUAUUGACUUCCAAUAUUAUUUUUCAUUGCACCUGCUAUGGUGCUCUUUCUCAGUAAUCCCGGUGAUCAAACCAAAGGUUGUCUGUGUACAGUGUACUGACAGGAGACACCUAAUUGCAGAAGGAGCUCCAAUUUAGGAAUAAUGAAAAUUAACAUUAACACCCCCCAAUCUGUCACUUAAACCAGUUAUUCCAUUCUGAGGUAUCCAUUCUUAAACUCCAUAUCAAGAUAGGCUCUAUAGCAUGUGUUUUCUCCUUAGCCACCAAGAGCUGGGUCUUGAGUUCUCUAGGUCCUGUUCCACUGGGUUUAGGAGAAUGGAGGUACUAGUUUCUGGCAAAUAGUUCCUUGUUCAUAAUCCUUCAGAAACAAGCUUCAGAAUAUUGAUCUGCAAAGGGAAAGAGCAAAAUAUGUUUCCUAUAUCCCCUCAUCUCAUUUCUACCAUACUCCACCUUGUUUCUUUUAGUCCAAGGUCUAUGAACUCUUCUAUGUUCCCAUGGAAGGGUUUGGCUCUCAGGCAGAGUCAGUAAGUCAUCCUGAGAACUAGAUCCCAGCAGCCCCCUUGGUGAUCCACCAGUGGCCAGUGCUGGAGUGAGUCUCUCCCUGUGGUCCUCUCUUCUUCCUCCUCCUCCUCCUCCUCAUCCUCUUCCUCCUCCUCCUCCUCCUCCCCAGAACGAGUUGGCAGGAUUUAUAGGACUGUCCCAGCGACACACCAUCUCAGUAACUGCAGAAUGGCAGUUGUAAAAAAUCCCAUUUGCCAGGGUAUUAGAAUCCCAUUAGCACUCCCAAUGGAGAAAUAACCCCGACCCUUCAGAAGGAAUUAAAGCUAUGUGAGCACCAGCAUUUGGAGUGCUAUAGGCCUCUCCCCAGUUUGGCGGAUCACACCAGCAGACAUAAAGCUGCAGGCACCAUAUGUCCUUGGUCCACAAACCCCUUGAGAGUGGCCUGGCAAUGAUGUAUGGGAGGGUCUCUAGUGCCACAAACAGCUCCAGAGUAAUCACCAGGAGUCACUGAUACGCUUUCCUGGUUUACCUCUCCCUGAGAUUGAAUCAUUUUAGGGAAAAUCUAAGACUGUUUUACAACCUCUUGUGCCCCCUUUUCCCCUUCUCUCAUUCUAACAGCAAUAUUCAGGUUCUAAGUGACAUCAAGAGCAACACUACAAACACAGCUUGCAUGUGAUCCUCAAAGCAGAAUCAGCUGAAAAACAAAGGCACUCACAAUACUGUCCUGGUUGGGUGUGUUUUCAACUUGACACAAGCUAGGGUCAUAUGGGAAGAGGAAACCUCAGUUGAGAGAAUGCUUCUAUCAGAUUGGAUAUGGGCAAGUCUAUGUGGACAUUUUCUUAAUGACUGAUGUGGGAGAGUUCAGCAUACUAUGGAUGGUGCCACCUCUGGGCAGAUGGUUGUCAAUUGUGCAAGAAAGGUACCUGAACAAGCUAUGGAGCAAAAGCAAGUAAGCAGUUUUCCUCCAUGGCCUGUUCUUCAGUUCCUGCCAAAAGGUUCCUGACCUGAGUUCCUUCCUGACCCCCUCAAUGGCAGACUGUGACUGAGAUGUGGGGAUCAGAUGAACAGUUUCCUCUCGAAGUUGCUUUUGGCCAUGGUGCCCAUCACAGCAAUUUCUAGUCAAUGAAGACAGAUACCCUGGCAAAUCAUUCCACUUUAGGAGGAAACAGAUGCCCAAAGAGGUGAAGCAACUUGCACAGGAUCACACAGUAAUCAAAAUGUAAUCUCCUCUUUCUGGCCUAGUAUUUUCACUACUGGACUCCCUUCUGGUGGAGGGAAAGAGUCUCAGAUUGCUUGUGACUUUCUGAGCUAUGAGCACUUCUUAGGUCACGGGUUCUGAAUGUACCCAGCAGCCCAAGGAGGAGAGAGAGGAAGUGCCCAAGCUUAGAGCUCAGGCAUUGCUAUGAUAGACUUGUGGUGUGAAACACAUUAAAAUUAUUUAAUGGGUUUAAAUAGUUGUUUCUUAAUCUGUAAAUGAGGGUCAGCAACAGACGUAUGCAGCUUGUAGCAUCUGGGGGAAUCUUACUAAACACCAGUUCUGAUGCCAAGGAGGUGAAAAUGGAGACCGAGAGUCAUUGUCUUUAACAAGCUCCAUGUGACACUGAUGCUGAUGUCUGGGGACCACACUGCACUGAUGAAGGUCAUUAAGUCGUUGAAAAAUUAAAGACAAUGAAACAUACAUGGUUCUGAGCACGGUGAGGGCAACUAUUCAAUAAACAUCAGCGGUUAACCUCACGUGUGCAGAUGAAGCCUGUAUCCUACAGACUUAAGCCUACAUCCUAACGACCUAGUCCAUGCUGGGAACUGAGCCAGGUGUGCAGAACUUCUUGCCAUCUGAACCUCAGGCCAUACCUGUAGCACAGGUGAGAUGAUUUCUGUUUCUCCUGUGAAAGAGAACAAGACUCAGAGAAAUUAGUGACUCCCCUGUGGUCAAAUGGGAGCACAGAGUAAUGACCUCAAGAGACGUUCCUUCCACUGCCUUCAAGUCUGCCCCCUUUGCCUGCUAUCCGGAGAUGAUAUUGCAGACAAGGUGGAUUUCAACGGUGAAUGCUGGCAGGUGACUGUCUGCUGCCAGAAGAGGAGAGAAGGCCACAUUAGGCAGGAAAGGGGGUGCUGGAGGGCCCACCGUGACAGAAGGAGCGGAAGAGGGUCCAUGACUGAUUGACGGGUGCAUGGUGGCAGGGGAUUUACAGAUCAAUAAAUAGACGGAGAUCCAGUGA